GUCUCUGUGGUGCAAUGGGUUAGCGUUGUCUGGCUGUUAACCAGAAGGAUGGUGGUUCAAGCCAGCCUAGGGAUG